AGUGAACGCUGGCGGUAGGCCUAACACAUGCAAGUCGAACGGCAGCACAGUAAGAUCUUGCUCUUACGGGUGGCGAGUGGCGGACGGGUGAGGAAUACAUCGGAAUCUACUUUUUCGUGGGGGAUAACGUAGGGAAACUUACGCUAAUACCGCAUACGACCUACGGGUGAAAGCAGGGGAUCUUCGGACCUUGCGCGAUUGAAUGAGCCGAUGUCGGAUUAGCUAGUUGGCGGGGUAAAGGCCCACCAAGGCGACGAUCCGUAGCUGGUCUGAGAGGAUGAUCGGCCACACUGGACCUGAGACACGGUCCUGACUCCUACGGGAGGCAGCAGUGGGGAAUAUUGGACAAUGGGCGCAAGCCUGAUCCAGCCAUACCGCGUGGGUGAAGAAGGCCUUCGGGUUGUAAAGCCCUUUUGUUGGGAAAGAAAAGCAGCAGGUUAAUACCCCGCUGUUCUGACGGUACCCAAAGAAUAAGCACCGGCUAACUUCGUG
rnacentral:rRNA from 1 species